GAUGAACGCUGGCGGCGUGCCUAAUACAUGCAAGUCGAGCGAACAGACGAGGAGCUUGCUCCUCUGACGUUAGCGGCGGACGGGUGAGUAACACGUGGAUAACCUACCUAUAAGACUGGGAUAACUUCGGGAAACCGGAGCUAAUACCGGAUAAUAUAUUGAACCGCAUGGUUCAAUAGUGAAAGACGGUUUUGCUGUCACUUAUAGAUGGAUCCGCGCCGCAUUAGCUAGUUGGUAAGGUAACGGCUUACCAAGGCGACGAUGCGUAGCCGACCUGAGAGGGUGAUCGGCCACACUGGAAGUGGGACACGGUCCAGACUCCUACGGGAGGCAGCAGUAGGGAAUCUUCCGCAAUGGGCGAAAGCCUGACGGAGCAGCGCCGCGUGAGUGAUGAAGGUCUUCGGAUCGUAAAACUCUGUUAUUAGGGAAGAACAAAUGUGUAAGUAACUAUGCACGUCUUGACGGUACCUGAUCAGAAAGCCACGGCUAACUACGUG
rnacentral:rRNA from 1 species